GAUGAACGCUGGCUACAGGCUUAACACAUGCAAGUCGAGGGGAAACGGCAUUGGGUGCUUGCACCGAAUGGACGUCGACCGGCGCACGGGUGAGUAACGCGUAUCCAACCUUCCCGUUACUGCGGGAUAACCUGCCGAAAGGCAGACUAAUACCGCAUGUUCUUCGAUGACGGCAUCAGAUUCGAAGCAAAGAUCCGUCGGUAACGGAGGGGGAUGCGUCUGAUUAGCUUGUUGGCGGGGCGACGGCCCACCAAGGCGACGAUCAGUAGGGGUUCUGAGAGGAAGGUCCCCCACAUUGGAACUGAGACACGGUCCAAACUCCUACGGGAGGCAGCAGUGAGGAAUAUUGGUCAAUGGGCGGAAGCCUGAACCAGCCAAGUAGCGUGAAGGAUGACGGCCCUACGGGUUGUAAACUGCUUUUAUGCGGGGAUAAAGUGAGGGACGCGUCCCUUUUUGCAGGUACCGCAUGAAUAAGGACCGGCUAAUUCCGUGCCAGCAGCCGCGGUAAUACGGAAGGUCCGGGCGUUAUCCGGAUUUAUUGGGUUUAAAGGGAGCGUAGGCCGGGGAUUAAGUGUGUUGUGAAAUGUAGGCGCCCAACGUCUGACUUGCAGCGCAUACUGGCUCCCUUGAGUACGCGCAACGCCGGCGGAAUUCGUCGUGUAGCGGUGAAAUGCUUAGAUAUGACGAAGAACCCCGAUUGCGAAGGCAGCCGGCGGGAGCGCAACUGACGCUGAAGCUCGAAGGUGCGGGUAUCGAACAGG
rnacentral:rRNA from 1 species